UUUAUACCUUUGUCCCUCUAAUUUAAGACUAUGUCCUCUUGUUGUGGUAGUUUUUCUUCUUUUAAAUAUACUGUGUUGAUUCCCUUUAUGUAUUUAAAUGUUUCUAUCAUAUCCCCCCCCUGUCUUGUCUUUCCUCCAAGCUAUACAUGUCAAGAUCCUUUAACCUUUCCUGGUAAGUUUUAUCUUGCAAUCCAUGAACCAGUUUAGUAUCC